GAACGUUACCUGCGCUCUGGCCUAAAUCCCUAUGUACAUUGUUUAAAUGUACAUAGGGAUUUAGGCCAGAGCGCAGGUAACGUUCU
rnacentral:miRNA from 1 species